UCGAACGCGCGGUCUGCUGUAGCAAUACAGUGGGCUGGCGCGUGGCGAACGGGUGAGUAACACGUGGGUAACCUUCCCCCAGGUGAGGAAUAACCCGCCGAAAGGCGAGCUAAUACCGCAUAACAUCCUGGCGGCACAAGCUGUUGGGAUCAAAGUCCACCUCUGGUGGACGCUUGGGGAGGGGCCCGCGGCCGAUCAGCUAGUUGGUGAGGUAACGGCUCACCAAGGCUGCGACCGGUAGCUGGCCUGAGAGGGUGGCCGGCCACACUGGAACUGCGACACGGUCCAGACUCCUACGGGAGGCAGCAGUGGGGAAUCUUGCGCAAUGGGCGAAAGCCUGACGCAGCGACGCCGCGUGGGGGAUGAAGCCUCUCGGGGUGUAAACCCCUUUUAGCCCGGACGAAACCCCGGCUUGGCCGGGUCUGACGGUACGGGCAGAAAAAGCCCCGGCUAACUACGUG
rnacentral:rRNA from 1 species